rnacentral:rRNA from 1 species
UACGUAGGGAGCAAGCGUUGUCCGGAAUCAUUGGGCGUAAAGCGCGCGUAGGUGGCCUCGUAAGUCCGCUGUAAAAAGUCAAAGGCUCAACCUUUGAAAGCCGGUGGAUACUGCGGGGCUAGAGUACGGAAGAGGGCGAGUGGAAUUCCUGGUGUAGCGGUGGAAAUGCGCAGAUAGUCAGGAGGAACACCCAAUAGCGAAGGCAGCUCGCUGGGACGUUACUGACACUGAGGCGCGAAAGCGUGGGGAGCGAACAGG